AGACUUAUAGAUCAACUACCAAGCAUAUCCCCAAGUUUUACUUCACCCUUGCUUGUCAUUGAUCAUACAAUUUCAUCACGGGAUCACACACUUGCUUGAUUUUCUUUGUUGUGAGCCAUAUAAUACACAUUUAUUUUAAGAGACAAUAUCAUAUCACAAAUAUGAGAAUAAAACCAUGCUCACAAUCUUAAGCAAACAAGUUAGUCCUUUAAUUGUUUUGUCAUUCAAUUCACCAAAACCUACUUAGGAGCCUAGAUGCACUUUCAAACCACCCUCCUCUACCGCUCGGCCGGCAACGCCACCGCCGCCGCACCUCACCACCCCACGCUCGCCACCUUCACCGGACUGGCAACCUCCCUCUAUGACCGGCAUAUUCUAGUGAAUCCCUAACCCGGAAACCUAAAUCCCUAACCCCGAGCCCUAAUUCCUCACCGGAGCUCGAAUCCACCUCGCCGGAGCUCAAAUCCAGCCCUCGGAUGAGUUCAAAAGGAUUUGAGUGAGGAGAAGCUUCAAAUCACUUGGGUGAGUGAUAGCUUUCUAAAAGGCAAAAUUGUCCACAGGACAUCAUUCAAAGUUAGCUUUUACUACAAACCAUCAAAGAAACAUGUCUUUGUUGUAGGACACUAUUCAACCAUAUCACUUUGGUGUCACUAAACUCUAACUUUUAUUUAGAUUAAUUAGAAAGCAACAGGAAAUGACUAAAUUACCCUACCGACAUAGACCGAUCCCCAAACCUUAUCGGCUCGUGUCAUCGUCCCACUCUCACUCCUGCUCCUGCUCCUACACCCCUACCUACUGCUUCUGCUCC
rnacentral:lncRNA from 1 species